rnacentral:lncRNA from 1 species
AGGGUGAAUGUGCUUCCAAUUAUCAUGGCAACUUUUCAGAUAAAUCUUACCGUUUUCUUUGUUUUGUUUCUGUUUUUGAAGCACAACAAAUUCUGAGAUGCGAAAAGAUUGUUUAAUGUGUUUUACUAUAACAUCUCUGUUUUGUCAUAUUUUACUGUAUCGAUGCUUUAUCAGAUAAAACUAUAUACCUCAGAGCUAGACCUAAGAAAACCUAAAUUACUAC